rnacentral:rRNA from 1 species
GAUGAACGCUGGCGGCGUGCCUAAUACAUGCAAGUCGAGCGAACGGACGAGAAGCUUGCUUCUCUGAUGUUAGCGGCGGACGGGUGAGUAACACGUGGAUAACCUACCUAUAAGACUGGGAUAACUUCGGGAAACCGGAGCUAAUACCGGAUAAUAUUUUGAACCGCAUGGUUCAAAAGUGAAAGACGGUCUUGCUGUCACUUAUAGAUGGAUCCGCGCUGCAUUAGCUAGUUGGUAAGGUAACGGCUUACCAAGGCAACGAUGCAUAGCCGACCUGAGAGGGUGAUCGGCCACACUGGAACUGAGACACGGUCCAGACUCCUACGGGAGGCAGCAGUAGGGAAUCUUCCGCAAUGGGCGAAAGCCUGACGGAGCAACGCCGCGUGAGUGAUGAAGGUCUUCGGAUCGUAAAACUCUGUUAUUAGGGAAAAACAUAUGUGUAAGUAACUGUGCACAUCUUGACGGUACCUAAUCAGAAAGCCACGGCUAACUACGU